GGGGUUUUCUGGUACCCCACAGGUGGGGGGCUUGGGCGGUCGCCUUGGGGCGGGGCCUUUAGGUAUCCCGGACGACAGGGCCUUUGGCGAUCUUCUCGUCUUGCACUGUGACCAGGCUGCCUUUCCCCAUGAGAUGGCAGAAUGACUGCUUACAAGUUCAAAUCAUAUCCUUACCAGCAGAGAGUUUUUUUCCCAAAACGCUACCAACAAAAGUCUCAGGACUGCAUCUUGUUGGUCUAACUUGGGUUGCUUGUGCAUCAUUAAGCCACUCUCUUCAGGAGGGGCAUGGAAUAUUCUGACAGCGCAGACCUAGGUCACAUGCUAACUGCUGGAGCUAAGGUGUGGUCAGCAGCUCUUAAAUCUCAUGGACUGAGAACUGGAGAAAGAUGCCUUCCUUGAAGUCAGUACUUUAAAAAGUCCUUAUUAGGUUUGUGCCAUGGAAUUAAUUGAAGUGGUAAAAGAGCUCCGUGUCACACUCAAGUGUUGCUGGUGGAAUGUAAAAGGAGACAGCUGACUGUGGGAAACUAUUUGCCAGUUUCUCAAGCUAAAUAUACACCUACCCUGUGAUUCGGAAAUUCCACUCCUAGAUAUAUAUUCCAGAGAAAUAUGAGCACAUGUUCAAAAAGCGGGGGUAGUUGUACAAGAAUGCUCUUAACAUCUUUAUUUGUAAUAUCCCCAAACUGGAUAUAUUCUAAAUGUUCAUCAAAAAAAGAAUGGAUAAACAAACUAUAGUAUAUUCAAACAAUGGAAUACUACAGAGCCAUAAAAAGGAUGAACUGCUGAUACACAUCACAUAAAUAAAUCUAAAAAAAAAAAAACUCGUUGAGCAAAAGAAGGCAGACACCAAAGGUUAUAGAUGUAUGAUUCCAUUUACAUAAAGUUCAAGAAAAGGCCAAACUAAUCUACGGUGAUCAGCAUCAGAAUAGUGGUUGCAUCUGAAGGAUGUGUAUUAUUAAUUGGAAAGGGGCACAGAAGAACAUUCAGGGAGCAUUCACUUUGUUAGAUUUCUGCUAUUUGCCAGGCUCUGUUCCAGGCAUUGAAAAGGUAACAGUGAACAAAGCAGACCAGGUCUUUGUUUUCAUGCAAA